rnacentral:snoRNA from 20 species
AACCAUAGUCUCGUGCUAGUUCGGUACCAUACAGGAAAGGGAAGACACGCACAUACGUGUGUGUGCGCUUCUUGCUAUUGUUGCUUAGCUUUCCUAAAACACUGGGCUAGCGUUUCUCAACGCUCGAGAGGCAGAGUCUCAAGGAGCCCCCAGUGGGCCCCAUGCAUCCAUCUAGAUGGCACUUCGGACAGUGGCACUAUAUAGGGGAUUCGGCUUCCAACUUCUCCUCCGGCCUUCGCGGCCGGGGUUUUGAGUCGUUGGAUCACGGGCCGUUUCCCUUAGUCGUUGUCUUGGGUGUUGUUGCCUUUAACGAUGUGUGCGAGGGGUUCGGGGGCUGUUGCCAUGAUUUAUAUGGAUGAGACAGAAGUAGCCCCGUUGACGAGUCAACUUAGAUCAAGUAGGAUGCAUGAUCUUGAGCUCUUUUCCUAUACUUUCUCCCACACCGGGCUUUCUCCUUAUUACGAAGAGAGAGCAAGGCGCGAGGGCGAGUGGGAAAAUCUGAGUUCGGUCAUCUUUGUUGUCAUCCUACUGCAGUAUAUUCCUAAACACUAUGAAACGGCCCUAGUUUGGUCAAUGAUCAUUUGGGUAAAACCAUACUGCAGACAUCU